GAGCCCAGAUUUCGGCCUCUCUCUUCCACCGGCCAUAUCUCCCUCCACAGACCUCCGAUCGACUUGAUUCAAAAAGCAAUUUCAUUCACCUUGAAGUCAGUUAAAACUUCCUAGAAGACAUCAAAGUGAGAAAAGAACCGUCGAAUGCGCUAGGAGACCGAGAAGCUGCACAGCUCGAGCUGGAAUUCGCACGAGCUGCUCUUCAUUCACCGGCCGAUAUCUCUUUCAUCCGACCUCUAAUCGAGUUGAUUCCAAAAGUUAUUUUGCUGGGAUUGAGCUAGAUUAGAACUUUGUAGAAGAGAUCGAAGGGAAAUAACCAACGUGGUAGCCGCUACAAGUCGAAGAACACGGUGCAGUCGAGCUGGAAAUCACCUCCUUUCCCCACCGUCGUUCUCACUCCUCCGGCCACCUUUUGCCGUGAUUCUUGAGGGGAUUCUGCACUUCUGAGGAUGUAGAUCAUUUCCCCUAAGGUGGAUUGCAUCGAUUUCAUCUGUUGAGAUCGAAUUGGAACGAAUUCAAAACUAUGGUUCUUUGGAUCCGUCGGCUUCUAAGUACACUAUUCAAAUUGUGUAGCGGGUAAUCUCACAGGUCAGGAGAAUCAGGCAGUGAUCGUGCAGUUUAGAGUACUAGUAUUAGAUUUACAGCAAUUGUUUUGUGAGGAGAAUUAUACUCAUUUGAGUUUUACAAUUUGAUUUGGUGAGAGUGUGCUGUAAUAAGUAGCUCGAGGAUUUGGUUUAUGUAAUAUUAAGAGGUGUAAACUAGUGGUUGUUUCU
rnacentral:lncRNA from 1 species